UACAGAGGUCUCAAGCGUUGUUCGGAUUCAUUGGGCGUAAAGGGUGCGUAGGCGGCGCGGUAAGUCGGGUGUGAAAUCUCGGGGCUUAACUCCGAAACUGCAUUCGAUACUGCCGUGCUUGAGGACUGGAGAGGAGAUUGGAAUUCACGGUGUAGCAGUGAAAUGCGUAGAUAUCGUGAGGAAGACCAGUGGCGAAGGCGGAUCUCUGGACAGUUCCUGACGCUGAGGCGCGAAGGCCAGGGGAGCAAACGGG
rnacentral:rRNA from 1 species